GACGAACGCUGGCGGCGUGCCUAAUACAUGCAAGUUGAGCGAUGAAGAUUGGUGCUUGCUCCAAUUUGAAGAGCAGCGAACGGGUGAGUAACGCGUGGGGAAUCUGCCUUUGAGCGGGGGACAACAUUUGGAAACGAAUGCUAAUACCGCAUAACAACUUUAAACAUAAGUUUUAAGUUUGAAAGAUGCAAUUGCAUCACUCAAAGACGAUCCCGCGUUGUAUUAGCUAGUUGGUGAGGUAAAGGCUCACCAAGGCGAUGAUACAUAGCCGACCUGAGAGGGUGAUCGGCCACAAUGGGACUGAGACACGGCCCAAACUCCUACGGGAGGCAGCAGUAGGGAAUCUUCGGCAAUGGACGAAAGUCUGGCCGAGCAACGCCGCGUGAGUGAAGAAGGUUUUCGGAUCGUAAAACUCUGUUGGUAGAGAAGAACGUUGGUGAGAGUGGAAAGCUCAUCAAGUGACGGUAACUACCCAGAAAGGGACGGCUAACUACGUG
rnacentral:rRNA from 1 species